GCGGCCGCGCCGCCCCGCCCGUCGGCCUCGCUCCCGCCACAGAGCCCGCAGCACGCCGCCGCCGCAGCCUAGGUCACAUUACUAGGAAAGCCAAGUCUCUCUUCCUGGAUUUCUUCUCCUAUAAACUGCCUAUUGAUACCUACCCACUUCUCUAUGGAGCACAGGUGAAGGAUAUUGGUCAUCUCCAGCACCUAGUACAAUGUCUGCAAUGGAACAGGCGAGCUGUGAAGAUUUGUGGAAUGCAUGGGUGGACUAAAGACCUAUCACCUCAGUCUAGAAUGCCCAGCAUGUUGGAGCAUGUUAAGCACUAUAUGAGCUGCUGAGGAUACAGGAACAAACAACAACACAGGUGUGUCCUCUGCCCAAACCAGGCAUAAAUGAGCUUCCAGAUGAAUACAAACAAAUCUGGAAGGCUUUUGAGGAAGAAGGACCAUUAAAAAAGCUGCUGAUGACUGCCUGGAAUCUGGUUUGGAGCAUCUCCAAAGCCAACAUACUUUCCCCCAAGAAAAUACAGGAAGAUCUCUCUGCCCAGGCUUGGAAAUACAUAAGGAUCAGG
rnacentral:antisense_RNA from 1 species